UCUCCCUGAGCACCAACCUGUGUGCAGAAUGAAAGAGGGGGGAAUAGGAGGGGGAGGCAGGAUCAGGAGAGACU